CGGAACGUGCCUAGUAGUGGGGGAUAACUACUCGAAAGAGUAGCUAAUACCGCAUGAGAUCUAAGGAUGAAAGCAGGGGACCUUCGGGCCUUGCGCUACUAGAGCGGCUGAUGGCAGAUUAGGUAGUUGGUGGGAUAAAAGCUUACCAAGCCGACGAUCUGUAGCUGGUCUGAGAGGACGACCAGCCACACUGGGACUGAGACACGGCCCAGACUCCUACGGGAGGCAGCAGUGGGGAAUUUUGGACAAUGGGCGAAAGCCUGAUCCAGCAAUGCCGCGUGUAGGAUGAAGGCCCUCGGGUUGUAAACUACUUUUGUACGGAACGAAAAGCUCUCUUCUAGUAAAGGAGAGUGAUGACGGUACCGUAAGAAUAAGCACCGGCUAACUACGUGCCAGCAGCCGCGGUAAUACGUAGGGUGCGAGCGUUAAUCGGAAUUACUGGGCGUAAAGCGUGCGCAGGCGGUUAUGUAAGACAGAGGUGAAAUCCCCGGGCUCAACCUGGGAACGGCCUUUGUGACUGCAUAGCUAGAGUACGGUAGAGGGGGAUGGAAUUCCGCGU
rnacentral:rRNA from 1 species